UACGUAGGUGGCAAGCGUUAUCCGGAUUUACUGGGUGUAAAGGGCGUGUAGGCGGGAUGGUAAGUCAGAUGUGAAAACUAUGGGCUCAACCCAUAGCCUGCAUUUGAAACUAUCGUUCUUGAGUGUUGGAGAGGCAGGCGGAAUUCCGUGUGUAGCGGUGAAAUGCGUAGAUAUGUGGAAGAACACCGAUGGCGAAGGCAGCCUCCUGGGACGCAACUGACGCUCAUACACGAAAGCGUGGGGAGCAAACAGG
rnacentral:rRNA from 1 species